UAUAGGCACUUGCCACAAUAGCAGAACAUUGCCUUGUCAAAAUAAAAAUAAAAAGCAACAGGCAGAAAACUAUGAUUAGAAUGCCAGUUUACAUUUUUUCUGAAUGCGAAAACUUCUAGACACAUGUUCUUUAUGACGAAUUUCACUCUUGUCUUUGCAGCUUGAUCAUCGUAUACUUGCCGCUGCUACUUUAGCUGCAAUAGGUGGGUUAUGGUGGUCAACCAGGAAGCUGGAUAUGCAUCCUGCUGUCCGACACUUAAUCGGAAGCACCAUGGGCAUGGCUGCUCUGCAGGUAACGUUGGGCAUAUCUACUCUUCUUUCCUAUGUCCCAGUUUCUCUAGGAACUGCUCAUCAAGCAGGAGCUUUGACUCUUUUAACAUUCAUGAUCCUGCUCAAUCACACUGUGCGACGGCCUUCUCCAUCACUUCUAAAGACGUUGCCUUCAGUCGCAAAAAUGAUCUGAUAUUGAUACCAUAAUUUCUUAUAGAGCAUUGACAUUGUCAGGUAUUCUAAAUUGUACCAUUUUGCGAUCCUUGCGCAACUUACAGAAUCAGAAAAAAUGCAUUUCUUUCUGGCCCUCUUGUUCUCAUGAUUUCCAGGGAAGUUUAGAAUGUCUUAUCUUGUAAAGAACCAGCAAUCUUGUAGUUUCAUUGAUACUCGUUGACCGAGUCUUUUAGAAAAUCAGCAGCAAUCAGCUUUAAUAACUGAGUUCAAAUUGGGAUCUCUAUGAAAAUAAACAUUUCUGUAUAUUACAGUCCUAUUGUAAAUUACCAGCAUCCUGGUUUCUUUUA